rnacentral:lncRNA from 1 species
GUCUCAAUGCACCAAAAGCAUGAGAGGCAUUCAUUCAUCUGCAAAUAUUUAAUGAGUGCCAACUGUAAUGCCAGGAACUACUCAAGGUGCUGAGGAUAGAACAGUGAGAAAGACAGAGGCCCCUUCUCUUCCAGAACUGAUAUUUUGGCAAGAAGAUGGACGAUAUACACAUAAGAGUACAUCUAGAUGGUGUCUGGUAGUCCUGAGUUAGGAAGAGAAAUGAAAUUUGGGCAGAGAUCAGAAAGAAGUGAAGGGGUGAGCCAUGUGGAGAUGGAGGGCAGUGAGAAGA